rnacentral:rRNA from 2 species
CUGGCUGUGUGCCUAAUACAUGCAUGUCGAGCGAAGUUGCUUCGGUAACUUAGCGGCGAAUGGGUGAGUAACACGUACUCAACGUACCCUUUUGAUUGGGAUAGCAAGUGGAAACAUUUGAUAAUACCAAAUACGCAUUAUUUUCGCAUGAAGAUAAUGUAAAAGGAGCUUUACGGCUUCGCAAAAGGAGCGGGGUGCGCAACAUUAGCUAGUUGGUGAGGGUAAUGGCCCACCAAGGCGAUGAUGUUUAGCGGGGUUGAGAGACUGAACCGCCACACUGGGACUGAGAUACGGCCCAGACUCCUACGGGAGGCAGCAGUAGGGAAUAUUCCACAAUGGACGAAAGUCUGAUGGAGCGACACAGCGUGCAGGAUGAAGGCCCCAUGGGUUGUAAACUGCUGUGGUAAGGGAAGAAAAAGUUCUAUAGGAAAUGAUAGGACCUUGACGGUACCUUAUUAGAAAGCAACGGCUAACUAUGUGCCAGCAGCCGCGGUAAUACAUAGGUUGCAAGCGUUAUCCGGAAUUAUUGGGCGUAAAGCGUCUGUAGGUUGUUUGUUAAGUCUGACGUCAAAACUUGGGGCUCAACCCCAAAUCGCGUUGGAUACUGGCUUACUAGAGUUAUGUAGAGGUUAGCGGAAUUCCUUGUGAAGCGGUGGAAUGCGUAGAUAUAAGGAAGAACACCAAUAUGGCGAAGGCAGCUAACUGGACAUACACUGACACUGAGAGACGAAAGCGUGGGGAGCAAACAGGAUUAGAUACCCUGGUAGUCCACGCCCUAAACGAUGAUCAUUAGCUGAUGGAAAAUUCAUCGGCGCAGCUAACGCAUUAAAUGAUCCGCCUGAGUAGUACGUUCGCAAGAAUAAAACUUAAAGGAAUUGACGGGGAUCCGCACAAGCGGUGGAGCAUGUGGUUUAAUUUGACGAUACGCGUAGAACCUUACCCACUCUUGACAUCUUCUGCAAGGCUAUAGAGAUAUAGUGGAGGUUAACAGAAUGACAGAUGGUGCAUGGUUGUCGUCAGCUCGUGUCGUGAGAUGUUCGGUUAAGUCCUGCAACGAGCGCAACCCUUGUCCUUAGUUACUACAUUAAGUUGAGCACUCUAAGGAGACUGCCCGAGUAAUUGGGAGGAAGGUGGGGACGACGUCAAAUCAUCAUGCCUCUUACGAGUGGGGCAACACACGUGCUACAAUGGUCGGUACAAAGAGAAGCAAUAUGGCGACAUGGAGCAAACCUCAAAAAACCGAUCUCAGUUCGGAUUGUAGUCUGCAACUCGACUACAUGAAGUCGGAAUCGCUAGUAAUCGUAGAUCAGCUACGCUACGGUGAAUACGUUCUCGGGUCUUGUACACACCGCCCGUCAAACCAUGGGAGCUGGUAAUGCCCGAAGUCGGUUUAUAAACAAACUGCCUAAGGCAGGACUGGUGACUGGGGUUAAGUCGUAACAAGGUAUCCCUACGAGAACGUGGGGAUGGAUCACCUCCUUUCUACGGAGUACAUAAAAUCACAUUUCAUUGGGAAUAGUGAUUAUUAACCUUAUUUUUUGACCUUAACUUAAUAUUUUUCAACAGUUCAUGGCUUAUUUAGGUCAUAAGCAAUAUAU